rnacentral:lncRNA from 1 species
GAUAAAAAAAAAACAAUUAUUAGUUUGGAUUGGAUUAAAUCUCUAACUAAUAUCAUUAUGGAAUAUAUAUAAAACGAAGGGGAAACGUUUCCUCCCAUCACAUUUUGACAUGAACAACAAGAGACCAAAUACCGCGAUAUAAGUCUAUAUGUCUCUCUCUCUCCUCCGCCAAAUAUUUCUCUGAUCCAAAUAUUUCCUUGA